GACUUUGUGACGCAACCUCUUUCAAUGUCGGGGGCCGAUCAGGAACAGAUGGACAGGGUGAUGACCCCACCCCAGCAAGCGAGAUCAGCAGUGCAACUGCCACUCAAAAUCCCAGCGUGUGGAUGUGCGCAAGUGUGGACUUGUAUGUUGGAGGAGAGUUGGGGGGGGGUUGUGCAGUGUUAUGGCUCUUAGGGUGUUACAGCAAACAUGGUCCUCCAUGAUAUGAUUCAUAAACCACCUGUUGUAUGCAGGGAAUAAAAACAGCAAAGAUAGAUCAGUUGUCAGGGCCGUGGGCAGGACGGUGCAGUGAAGCACAGCGUCUGCCUUUUGGCCUUCGCCUUGCGUGACACAUUCCCUGCCAUUCCUGUCUAACGCGUUAGCAUGCAGCCUGCCUAUCAAUCAGCCACUCAACUCUCUCCCAUUCCAAGCUCCAGCUGUUGUUUUUUGUCACCCUGGAAGUGAUGAUACAUGAGCAACAUUUUAAAGUAAUAAAGCUCAGCAAUUCUGCCAACAAUUAUGCCAGUGGUAUGUGAAGGGUUUUAUACAAAUGUAACAUGUCAUUUUGAGUUGAGGUUGCAAUGUGAAAAGUAUCAGCCAACAAUCCAAAUGGGUUCUGUCAUGUCAUUCGGCACAGUUAUUAAAAUAUGAAAUGGUUUUAUGCUAUUCUCUGUAAUAAGAGGAGUGUUAGUUUCCUUUUUAAAAUUCAGAAUUGUUUUGUUCCAGGUUCCAAUCUGUCUUCCCCAAGAAUACAUCAUUGCCUCCCACAUAUACCUGAGCCCUCCACUACACCUCUGUGCCACAACAAAAAAUCAUGCAUCUAAGUAAUAUAUGGAUCAUAGUCAGUGCAGAUUUACAUACUGGGUUCAGACCCAAAAACAAUGAAGAAAAAAAAAAAGAAACUUCAAACAUGUUUUCUUUUUUAGACUUUUCCGAAACUUUGUCCUUUCUUGCAUUCACCUACUGAUUAAAUUAAACAUUAGUGUUUGAAGUUAUAAAAAUACUUUUAGUUUGUGUGAAUAAAUACUGCCCCAUAAAUUCAUGGUCAAACACUGUGCUUAAAAAGUAGUAUACCGGGAAAAGAUACAAAAGCAACAAAUUACUGUUUUUUGAAAGAUAUGUUACAUGCACACUUAAACACAU